GACGAGCUUCAAUGCCAUACAACUCUCCUUCCAUGGCCUCCAACUACUCUUAAACGCAAGUAAAACUAAAUGCAUGCUAUUCAAUCGAUCACUGCGCGCACGUGCUCGCCCGUCCAGCAUCACUACUCUGUACGGCUCUGACUUAGAAUACAUGGACAACUACAAAUACCUGGGUGUCUGGUUAGACUGUAAACUCUCCUUCCAGACUCACAUUAAGCAUCUCCAAUCCAAAAUUAAAUCUAGAAUCGGCUUCCUAUAUCGCAACAAAGCAUCCUUCACUCAUGCUGCCAAACAUACCCUCGUAAAACUGACCAUCCUACCGAUCCUCGACUUCGGUGAUGUCAUCUAUAAAAUAGCCUCCAACACUCUACUCAUCAAACUGGAUGCAGUCUAUCACAGUGCCAUCCGUUUUGUCACCAAAGCCCUAUACACUACCCACCAUUGCGACCUGUACGCUCUCGUUGGUUGGCCCUUGCUUCAUACUCGUCGCCAAACCCACUGGCUACAGGUUAUCUACAAGUCUCUGCUAGGUAAAGCCCCGCCUUAUCUCAGCUCACUGGUCACCAUAGCAGCACCCACUCGUAUCACGCGCUCCAGCAGGUAUAUCUCAUUGUUCACCCCCAAAGCCAAUUCCUCCUUUGGUCAUCUUUCCUUCCUGUUCUCUGCUGCCAAUGACUGGAACAAACUGCAAAAAUCUCUGAAGCGGGAGACUUAUAUCUCCCUCACUAGCUUUAAGCACCAGCUGUCAGAGCAGCUCACAGAUCACUGCACCUGUACAUAUCCCAUCUGUAAACAGCCCAUCUAUCUACCUACCUCAUCCCCAUACUGUAUUUAUUUAUUUGUCUUGCUCCUUUGCACCCCAGUAUCUCUACUUGCACAUUCAUCUUCUGCACAUCUACCAUUCCAGUGUUUUAAUUGCUAUAUUGUAAUUACUUCGCCACCAUGGACAAUUUAUUGCCUUAACGUACCUCAUUUGCACUCACUGUAUAUAGACUUUUUGUUUUCUUUUGUUCUACUGU
rnacentral:lncRNA from 8 species